UACGUAGGUGGCAAGCGUUGUCCGGAUUUACUGGGUGUAAAGGGCGUGUAGCCGGGCUGACAAGUCAGAUGUGAAAUCCGGGGGCUCAACCCCCGAACUGCAUUUGAAACUGUUGGUCUUGAGUAUCGGAGAGGCAGGCGGAAUUCCUAGUGUAGCAGUGAAAUGCGUAGAUAUUAGGAGGAACACCAGUGGCGAAGGCGGCCUGCUGGACGACAACUGACGGUGAGGCGCGAAAGCGUGGGGAGCAAACAGG
rnacentral:rRNA from 1 species